rnacentral:rRNA from 1 species
GCUGGCGGCAUGCCUUACACAUGCAGUCGAACGGCAGCGCGGGAGCAAUCCUGGCGGCGAGUGGCGAACGGGUGAGUAAUAUAUCGGAACGUGCCCAGUAGUGGGGGAUAGCCCGGCGAAAGCCGGAUUAAUACCGCAUACGACCUGAGGGUGAAAGCGGGGGAUCGCAAGACCUCGCGCUACUGGAGCGGCCGAUAUCAGAUUAGCUAGUUGGUGGGGUAAAGGCCUACCAAGGCAACGAUCUGUAGUUGGUCUGAGAGGACGACCAGCCACACUGGGACUGAGACACGGCCCAGACUCCUACGGGAGGCAGCAGUGGGGAAUUUUGGACAAUGGGCGCAAGCCUGAUCCAGCAAUGCCGCGUGCAGGAAGAAGGCCUUCGGGUUGUAAACUGCUUUUGUCAGGGAAGAAAUCUUCUGGGCUAAUACCCCGGGAGGAUGACGGUACCUGAAGAAUAAGCACCGGCUAACUACGUGCCAGCAGCCGCGGUAAUACGUAGGGUGCGAGCGUUAAUCGGAAUUACUGGGCGUAAAGCGUGCGCAGGCGGCUUUGCAAGACAGAGGUGAAAUCCCCGGGCUCAACCUGGGAACUGCCUUUGGGACUGCAAGG